AACACAUGCAAGUUGAACGGGAUUUGUAUGGUGCUUGCACUAUAUAAUGAGAGUAGCGCACUGGUGAGUAACACGUGGGAACAUACCUUAAAGUGGGGGAUAACAUUUGGAAACGGAUGAUAAUACCGCAUACGACCUGAGGGGGAAAGAUUUAUCGCUUUAAGAUUGGCCCGCGGAAGAUUAGGUAGUUGGUAGGGUAAGGGCCUACCAAGCCUACGAUCUAUAGCUGGUCCGAGAGGACGAUCAGCCACACUGGAACUGAGACACGGUCCAGACUCCUACGGGAGGCAGCAGUGAGGAAUAUUGGGCAAUGGAGGCAACUCUGACCCAGCCAUGCCGCGUGAGUGAAGAAGGUCUUCGGAUUGUAAAGCUCUCUCGGAUGUGAAGAUAAUGACGGUAGCAUCUAAAGAAGCCCCGGCAAACUUCGUGCCAGCCGCCGCGGUAACAC
rnacentral:rRNA from 1 species